UUCCGGUCGGAAGUACAGCAUGAGUUGUUGCGUUCCACGUGAAUUGAUGAUAUUUACAUUUUCUUCAGCUCUUUCACUUCAUCAGAAGUAGUUGUGUGAUACACAAAAGUGCUAUUGUUGUGUGGAUAUAUUCCAAUUAGUGUUUUAAUACCUCUCCCCGAUUCAUUGUAGUUCCAUUAGUGAGCUAGCAAACUAGCCACCGGGUUAGCAUUAACUGUCGUUGUUGACAGUCUGUCAAUACCUCUGUUUUUGCUAAUAGUGAUGCUACAAGUUGUGUAUUUGCUGUGACAACAUCGUAAACUUUGCCAUUGCGUGAACUGUCUUCACCAUGGUACACACCAGCCUGGAUAAGAUCACUUCACUACAGAAAAAUCCUGCUAACAUUAGGAACCUUUGCAUCCUGGCACAUGUUGACCACGGCAAAACCACUCUGGCGGAUUGCUUAGUGGCCAGCAAUGGUAUUAUAUCCAGUAGGCUGGCAGGGAAGCUCAGGUAUUUGGACAGCAGAGAGGAUGAGCAGAUCAGAGGAAUUACAAUGAAGUCUAGCGCCAUCUCUUUGCACUAUAGAGAAGGUGAUGAAGAUUACUUGCUGAAUUUGAUAGACUCUCCCGGUCACGUUGACUUCUCGUCUGAGGUCUCCACUGCUGUGCGUCUGUGUGAUGGUGCCAUUGUUGUUGUUGAUGCUGUGGAGGGAGUAUGUCCACAGACCCAGGUUGUCCUGCGACAAGCAUGGUUGGAGAACAUCAGGCCGGUUCUGGUCAUUAAUAAAAUUGACCGACUUAUCUUGGAGUUGAAGCUCACCCCUCAGGAAGCUUAUGGCCACUUACAGAAGAUCCUGGAACAGGUGAAUGCAGUGACAGGAAGCUUGUUCACAUCCAAAGUGUUGGAGGAGCAAGCAGAGAAAACCAAAGAAGAGGAAGGGAGUGAGACCCAGACGGAAGAUCAAGUGUAUGACUGGAGUGCAGGGCUCGAGGAAGCCGAUGACUCUCAUCUCUACUUCUCACCUGACCAAGGGAACGUAGUCUUUGCCAGUGCCAUCGAUGGAUGGGGCUUGAGCAUCCAACACUUUGCCCACAUCUACAGCCAGAAGAUGGGCAUUAAUGCAGGUGUGCUUCUCAAAACCCUCUGGGGAGAUUUCUACCUCAAUGCAAAAGCUAAGAAGAUCAUGAAGGGAGCUCAGGCCAAAGGCAAGAAGCCUGUCUUUGUGCAGCUCGUACUGGAUAACAUUUGGAGUUUAUACGAUGCAGUCGUUACCCGGAGAGACAAGGAGAAAGUUGAGAAGGUGGUGGCAUCACUCGGGGUGAAGGUGACAGCCAGGGAUUCUCGUCACUCCGACCCCAAAGUUCUUCUGUCUGCGAUAUGCAGCCAGUGGUUACCCGUGUCUCACGCUGUCCUCUCCAUGGUAUGUCGCAAGCUUCCCAGUCCGUUGGACAUAGCAGCAGAGAGGGUGGAGAAGCUGAUGAGUGUAGGAGUGCGGAGGUUUGAUACAUUGCCGGAGAGGACACAGGAAUUAAAAAACGCAUUUCUCCAAUGCUCCAGCAAUGAAAACGCUCCAGUCAUAGUUUUUGUAUCCAAGAUGUUUGCCGUGGACACAACGGCCUUGCCUCAGAACAGACAAAAGCCACUGACUCAGGAAGAGAUUGCUCAGCGCAGAGAAGUGGCAAGAAAAAGACACGCUGAGAGGAUGGCAGCAUCAGGACCACAAGACCAACAAGACAAGUCACUCCAGGGUCGGCCAGAAGAACCCACCAAGGAUGAAACGCAAACUGGAGUUCUGGAAGAGUCCACACCGGGCGAGGCAGAGGAGAAAAGGGAGACCUUCAUCGCAUUUGCCAGGGUGUACAGCGGGGUGGUAAAGAAAGGACAAAGAAUAUUCAUACUUGGACCAAAAUAUGAUCCUGCACAGGGUCUGACCAUGCUGCCAGAAGGAUGCAGUGCUUCUGAUGGCUUGCCUGAGGUUCCUCAUCUGUCCUGUUGCUCCAUUGAAAACGUCUACCUGCUGAUGGGCAGAGAACUGGAAGAGCAAGAGGAGGUGCCUUCCGGCAAUGUGCUGGGCAUUAAAGGUUUAGAGGAGUUCGUUUUGAAGUCAGCGACCCUUUCCACCUCGCCAGCUUGUCCGCCCUUCACCCCACUAAACUUUGAAGCCUCGCCAAUUGUACGAGUAGCGAUAGAACCAAAACACCCAAGUGAAAUGCCAAAGCUGGUGCGUGGGAUGCGGUUGUUGAACCAGGCAGACCCCUGUGCUGAAGUGCUAAUUCAGGAGACGGGGGAACAUGUUUUGGUUACGGCGGGAGAGGUUCAUCUCCAACGCUGCCUUGAUGACCUCAAGGACCGGUUUGCUAAAAUCGAGAUCAGCGCAUCAAAGCCCAUUAUUCCAUUCCGAGAAACAGUGGUGCGCCCUCCCAAAGUGGACAUGGUGAAUGAAGAUCUUGGCAAGCAGCAAAAAGUUGCCAUCAUUCACCAGCAGGUAAAGGAGGAAGGGUCUCAUGGCUUUUCUUCAGAGACACUUCAUGUGGAUACCAGUGGUUUGGUCACGCUCAUCACUCCCAACAAACUGGCCACUGUCAGCGUCCGGGCAAUCCCCUUGCCUCCUGAGGUCAGUCGUCUUUUGGAGGAUAGCUCAGCGCUGAUUCGGACUCUGGAACAAGUCAAUAUGUCCUUGAAGGAGGGGAGGAAUGUAGAUAUCAGCGUCAGGACCUUGGAAGCCAUCGCUGAUCUCAAGGCCCAGCUGGGUAGCAUGCUGCAAGGGAGGAAGUGGAGGAAUGCUGUGGACUAUAUCUGGGCCUUUGGACCUCGCAGGUGUGGCCCAAACAUUCUACUGAACAAUGUGGAGGGCUACCAGCGACCUUCUCUGUGGCAGUGUCUGUGCAGGGAGGAUAAAUCGGGCGAAGUGGAGGCUCAGGCACGGCUCAUAAGGGAGUUGGACAACAGCAUCGUGAGCGGCUUUCAGCUCGCAACGCUGUCAGGGCCGAUGUGUGAAGAGCCCCUGAUGGGGGUCUGCUUCUCCAUUGAGAGAUGGGAUAUCCAGUCUUCAAACUUCCCAAAUCAGCACAAUAGUGCAGAAGAAAUUGCUACAUCCGGAGAAGCUUUGGGAGCUAGCAAAGCACCGGAGAACACUGAUGCAUCAGCGCAGAGUCAAGGCAAGUGCCGGCAAGAGGCUUCCUCUGCUGACCGCUACGGGCCGGUGUCAGGUCAGCUGAUUGCUGCCAUGAAGGAGGCAUGCCGCCAUGCUUUCCAGGCACAACCCCAGAGACUUAUGGCCGCCAUGUAUACAUGUGAAAUCAUGGCCACUGCUGACGUUCUGGGCCGAGUAUACGGUGUGCUCGGAAAACGAGAGGGACGCGUCCUCCAUGAAGAAAUGAAGGAAGGGACGGACAUGUUCAUCAUCAAGGCUGUUCUUCCUGUUGCUGAGAGUUUUGGAUUUGCAGACGAAAUCCGCAAGAGGACCAGUGGAUUGGCCAGUCCGCAACUGGUCUUCAGCCAUUGGGAGGUGAUCAGCAGUGAUCCUUACUGGGUUCCGACCACCGAGGAAGAAUACUUGCACUUUGGAGAGAAGGCCGACUCCACCAACCAGGCGCUGAAAUACAUGAACGCUGUCCGCCGCCGAAAGGGCCUGUUUGUGGAGGAAAAGAUAGUUGAACAUGCAGAAAAACAACGAACCCUCAGCAAGAACAAAUAAACAUAUAAAAUGAUCUUUCGGACACACCGGAUCACUCUAUGUCCAUCCGGCAAGAACUCAAGAACUCAUCUCAAAUGCUGCAAUGCAACCAGAUCUUUUUAAUGAACGCUUAUUGGAGUCAUGUAUUUAAUAUCAAACAAUAAAUGAACAUUGGAUGGAGUCCCUCGUCAUUGAGUAUCACUGCACCAUCAAGAGAAUCCUCACCAGUGGUUACAUUUAGAAACUGCUCUGUCACCAACUGGAAGGCGGUACAGAAGGUGGUGAAAACCAUCCAGCAUAUGGACUGCUUGUUCAACUUCCCUCUGGGAGGUGCAACAUGAGCCUUCGGACUAAAACCACCAGUCAAAAUGGAUGGAAGAGGUGACAGAAGCAACAAUUUUGCAGAGGGCCCGCAGUUGAACCCCUAUCCAAGAUUAAUUAUCAAUGGAGACGCACCACCAGUCAAUCCGGUUGUGAAUGGAGUUUUGGAGCCCAUCGGCUUCCUGGUGGAUGUGGGAUUGGUGGACGGCUUCUUUGGUGGAAGGAGGCAGCUUUUGCAGCAGCUCACAAUCCAGCAAUCCAGCAGCACCCCUACCAACAAUAACGUUGUCACCAUGGAAGACAACACAGAAGUUCCAUCAGAGGACCUCACUGGAGGGUCCAGCAGGGGGUCGAGUGAAGAUGAUGAAGAUGACGAGGGAGACAACAACAAAAUUAGAUGGUGGGAUGAAUUCCUUGACAGUGAGUCCAGCUGUGACUCUGUGGCUGAUUUCGAUAGCACCGGCAGCAUCUAUGUGGACUGCAUGGAGAUCCAUCCAGUCCACGAUGCUUGCGUGAAGGUCGAGUGCAAACAUUUUGCGGAAAAGGAGUCGCUGCUUGGAGGAUACAAGACAAAGCCUUGUGAAGACGGUGAAGGGGAGCAUCGACUAUAA